rnacentral:rRNA from 1 species
AAUAGAUACCCCGGUAGUCCACGCCGUAAACGAUGAGUGCUAAGUGUUAGAGGGUUUCCGCCCUUUAGUGCUGCAGCUAACGCAUUAAGCACUCCGCCUGGGGAGUACGGCCGCAAGGCUGAAACUCAAAGGAAUUGACGGGGGCCCGCACAAGCGGUGGAGCAUGUGGUUUAAUUCGAAGCAACGCGAAGAACCUUACCAGGUCUUGACAUCCUCUGACAACCCUAGAGAUAGGGCUUUCUCCUUCGGGGGACAGAGUGACAGGUGGUGCAUGGUUGUCGUCAGCUCGUGUCGUGAGAUGUUGGGUUAAGUCCCGCAACGAGCGCAACCCUUGAUCUUAGUUGCCAGCAUUCAGUUGGGCACUCUAAGGUGACUGCCGGUGACAAACCGGAGGAAGGUGGGGAUGACGUCAAAUCAUCAUGCCCCUUAUGACCUGGGCUACACACGUGCUACAAUGGAUGGUACAAAGGGCUGCAAACCUGCGAAGGUAAGCGAAUCCCAUAAAGCCAUUCUCAGUUCGGAUUGCAGG